UACGAAGGGUGCAAACGUUGCUCGGAAUCAUUGGGCGUAAAGCGCACGUAGGCGGCCUCAUAAGUCGGAUGUGAAAUCCCUCGGCUCAACCGAGGACGUGCAUCCGAAACUGUGAAGCUCGAGUAUGGAAGAGGGUCGCGGAAUUCCCGGUGUAGAGGUGAAAUUCGUAGAUAUCGGGAGGAACACCAGUGGCGAAGGCGGCGACCUGGGCCAAUACUGACGCUGAGGUGCGAAGGCUGGGGUAGCGAACAGG
rnacentral:rRNA from 1 species